CCUACGGGUGGCAGUAGUGGGGGAUAUUGGACAAUGGGGGAAACCCUGAUCCAGCGACGCCGCGUGAGUGAAGAAGUAUUUCGGUAUGUAAAGCUCUGUCAGCAGGGAAGAAAGAAAUGACGGUACCUGACCAAGAAGCCCCGGCUAACUACGUGCCAGCAGCCGCGGUAAUACGGAGGGGGCAAGCGUUAUCCGGAAUUACUGGGUGUAAAGGGAGCGUAGACGGUGAUGCAAGUCUGGGGUGAAAGGCGGGGGCCCAACCCUCGGACUGGGCUGGAAACUGGGUAACUUGAGUGCAGGAGAGGUAGGCGGAAUGCCUAGUGUAGCGGUGAAAUGCGUAGAUAUUAGGAGGAACCCCAGUGGCGAAGGCAGCCUACUAGACUGUGACUGACGUUGAGGCUCGAAAGCGUGGGGAGCAAACAGGAUUAGAUACCCGAGUAGUC
rnacentral:rRNA from 1 species